rnacentral:rRNA from 1 species
GGUUAAGCGACUAAGCGUACACGGUGGAUGCCCUGGCAGUCAGAGGCGAUGAAGGACGUGCUAAUCUGCGAUAAGCGUCGGUAAGGUGAUAUGAACCGUUAUAACCGGCGAUUUCCGAAUGGGGAAACCCAGUGUGUUUCGACACACUAUCAUUAACUGAAUCCAUAGGUUAAUGAGGCGAACCGGGGGAACUGAAACAUCUAAGUACCCCGAGGAAAAGAAAUCAACCGAGAUUCCCCCAGUAGCGGCGAGCGAACGGGGAGCAGCCCAGAGCCUGAAUCAGUGUGUGUGUUAGUGGAAGCGUCUGGAAAGGCGCGCGAUACAGGGUGACAGCCCCGUACACAAAAAUACACAUACUGUGAGCUCGAUGAGUAGGGCGGGACACGUGGUAUCCUGUCUGAAUAUGGGGGGACCAUCCUCCAAGGCUAAAUACUCCUGACUGACCGAUAGUGAACCAGUACCGUGAGGGAAAGGCGAAAAGAACCCCGGCGAGGGGAGUGAAAAAGAACCUGAAACCGUGUACGUACAAGCAGUGGGAGCACGCUUAGG